GAUGAACGCUAGCGGCAGGCUUAACACAUGCAAGUCGAGGGGUAUAGUUCUUCGGAGCUAGAGACCGGCGCACGGGUGCGUAACGCGUAUGCAAUCUACCUUUUGCAGAGGGAUAGCCCAGAGAAAUUCGGAUUAAUACCUCAUGGUAUGUGAGAAUGGCAUAUUUUUCACAUUAAAGUCACAACGGCAAAAGAUGAGCAUGCGUCCAAUUAGUUAGUUGGUAAGGUAACGGCUUACCAAGGCAACGAUGGGUAGGGGUCCUGAGAGGGAGAUCCCCCACAAUGGUACUGAGACACGGACCAGACUCCUACGGGAGGCAGCAGUGAGGAAUAUUAGGCAAUGGGCGCAAGCCUGAUCCAGCCAUGCCGCGUGCAGGAUGACGGUCCUAUGGAUUGUAAACUGCUUUUGUACAGGAAGAAACACUGGUUCGUGAACCAGCUUGACGGUACUGUAAGAAUAAGGAUCGGCUAACUCCGUGCCAGCCGCCGCAGUAAAAC
rnacentral:rRNA from 1 species